UACGGAGGGUGCAAGCGUUAUCCGGAUUCACUGGGUUUAAAGGGUGCGUAGGAGGGCAGGUAAGUCAGUGGUGAAAUCCCCGAGCUUAACUUGGGAACUGCCGUUGAUACUAUCUGUCUUGAAUGUUGUGGAGGUGAGCGGAAUAUGUCAUGUAGCGGUGAAAUGCUUAGAUAUCGGGAGGAACACCAGUGGCGAAGGCGGCUACCUGGGCCAGUUCUGACCGCUGAGGCGCGAAAGCGUGGGGAGCAAACAGG
rnacentral:rRNA from 1 species